AUUGAACGCUGGCGGCAUGCCUUACACAUGCAAGUCGAACGGCAGCACGGGUGAUUGCACCUGGUGGCGAGUGGCGAACGGGUGAGUAAUAAAUCGGAACAUGUCCUGUAGUGGGGGAUAGCCCGGCGAAAGCCGGAUUAAUACCGCCUACGAUCUACGGAUGAAAGCGGGGGCCCUUCGGGCCUCGCCCUAUAGGGUUGGCCGAUGGCUGAUUAGCUAGUUGGUGGGGUAAAGGCCUACCAAGGCGACGACCAGUAGCUGGUCUGAGAGGACGACCAGCCACACUGGGACUGAGACACGGCCCAGACUCCUACGGGAGGCAGCAGUGGGGAAUUUUGGACAAUGGGCGAAAGCCUGAUCCAGCAAUGCCGCGUGUGUGAAGAAGGCCUUCGGGUUGUAAAGCACUUUUGUCCGGAAAGAAAUCCUUGGCCCUAAUACGGUCGGGGGAUGACGGUACCGGAAGAAUAAGCACCGGCUAACUACGUG
rnacentral:rRNA from 1 species